rnacentral:lncRNA from 10 species
CCAGGGAACUCUGGAUCUGGGAUAAUCCUUCAGAGUUGUCCUGCCUUAAAGAGAUGAGAUCAGGCCUUUUUUUUUCUCCCAUCCCCAGAACCAGUUAUUGGAUAGAUGUGUUCCUAGGAAGAAGAUGUAAGCUUGGGUGAUUCCCAUUAGCUGAGAGCAAAUCUCUGAAUAGGAUUCAGCUGAGAGCCAGAAGCCCCCAACACUCCCAGAAGCUGGUCGGCUCUGGGAGUUACAGCCUUGUAACCACUACACUUCCCAACGCAACUAACCUCAAGUCCAGGGCUUUCCCUACUGUCCCCUUCUCUCAACUAGGGGCAAAUCUUGUCAUUAGAUUAGAACUUCUAUGGAGGGAAAUCUGCUUGGAGUGUAUUGUUUACAAAAUAAAAAUUUCCAAUAUCAUGUGGUUUAUCAAGGAGGAUAUUCAGGGUUGGAACUAUUUAUGCGUCAAUUCAAGAGUUCUGUGCUGUUAUUUCCAUCUGCAAAGGUCAUUCUACUAAGGCUAGAACUUAAGCCCCAGGGAGUUUCUUGGCUUAGUGAAGACUUCUAGUUUUCAACAGCGAUGAGACAAGGAGUGUCUGAAUUCAUUCAGCAUCAGCCUCCAACUCCACCCCACACGUAUCCGCUGGAAAUUGCUGCAGCCACUCCAACCUUCAGCAACCACCUCCUUGAUCAGUCAGCAGCCAUCAACAUUGAGGCAAGACCCUCCACCAGCAAAAUGAUUAUGACUUACUGAAGGUUCAGAUAAUCAUUCUCACUUUUUGGCAACAAAGUAUAUUUUAUUAAGGUGCAACUAAAAAUUCUGGAUAUUCUGUACAAAAGAAACAAAAUAAAAGUCUCAAGGAUGGAGAGGAGGGACUGGCUAAAGAUGCAGAGACCCAAUGAAUGACGCAGAGAGUCGUUCCACAGGCCCCAGCUGGCUAUUUUCUCUCUAUUCACCUUUAAAGGAGAGUUUUAUCCGUGUCUUGCAUUCAUAUAAUUGACAGUAGCUGUUGAUGGUUUCUAUGAAAGGUAAGGAAAUCAAAGAAAGGAUACUUUCUUUAGCUUCUCUCCUGCCCACGUCUAUCUGAUUUUGUUAAAGUUAUGGCCUAAGAUGGUCCCGUGAGACUCAUGGGAAUUAUGAUAUGUGAGAAAUUCAGAUUAUGAGACAUCUCCUGGCAAGCACAUUUAAGAGCAACUCAGCCAUAGUGAGCGCCACUAUGCAGCCACGUUCUCAGUAGUAUAGUUUGCACAGGUUUUAGUAAGCCCUGGCAGGUCCAUGAUUUGCUAGUUUGUAGUGGUGAUGAUCCUGUGAAUUAUUUGCAUUGUUUGUACUGAUUUUGAGGGUCAUUUACUAUUUAUUUAUUUAUUUAUUUAGAGACAGAGUCUCGCUCUGUCGCCCAGGCUGGAGUGCAGUGGUGCGAUCUCGGCUCACCACAAGCUCUGCCUCCCGGGUUCACGC